UGAACGCUGGCGGCGUGCUUAACACAUGCAAGUCGACCGGAAAGGCCCAAGCUUGCUUGGGUACUCGAGUGGCGAACGGGUGAGUAACACGUGGGUGAUCUGCCCUGCACUUCGGGAUAAGCCUGGGAAACUGGGUCUAAUACCGGAUAGGACCACUUCUUGGAUGUUGUGGUGGAAAGUUUUUUCGGUGUGGGAUGAGCUCGCGGCCUAUCAGCUUGUUGGUGGGGUAAUGGCCUACCAAGGCGUCGACGGGUAGCCGGCCUGAGAGGGUGUACGGCCACAUUGGGACUGAGAUACGGCCCAGACUCCUACGGGAGGCAGCAGUGGGGAAUAUUGCACAAUGGGCGCAAGCCUGAUGCAGCGACGCCGCGUGGGGGAUGACGGCCUUCGGGUUGUAAACUCCUUUCGCUAGGGACGAAGCGUUUUGUGACGGUACCUGGAGAAGAAGCACCGGCUAACUACGUG
rnacentral:rRNA from 1 species